CUGUAUCUUGACUUGCGUGUCUGCUGUAGUAUAUUCGUGACUUGCACCGCUCCUUAUUAUUUGUUUGGCUAUCCUUGGUGCCAGGCCAUUAGUGUGCUCUAUUUUUCUUACUGUUAGUUUUGUCCUUACCUUGGUUUUGUUUUUUCUCCCUAUUUGAGUUUAGUUUUGUUUUUUGAUUAUUUCUUCUAAUUUAUGAGCCUUGUAUUUCCUGCUGCUGCUUUGUUACUACCAUUGUUUAUAUUUUCUUAUAUUUUCUUGUAGUAGUGGCUGUGGGCGUUGAUGGUUGGAUAGGAUCGUGUCCAAGGGGGU
rnacentral:lncRNA from 1 species